AAGAGACAGCAGUAGCCGCGGGAAUACGGAGGGUGCAAGCGUUAAUCGGAAUUACUGGGCGUAAAGCGCACGCAGGCGGUCUGACAAGUCAGAUGUGAAAUCCCCGGGCUUAACCUGGGAACUGCAUUUGAAACUGUCAGGCUGGAGUCUUGUAGAGGGGGGUGGAAUUCCAGGUGUAGCGGUGAAAUGCGUAGAGAUCUGGAGGAAUACCGGUGGCGAAGGCGGCCCCCUGGACAAAGACUGACGCUCAGGUGCGAAAGCGUGGGGAGCAAACAGGAUUAGAUACCCCGGUAGUCCCUGUCUCUUAUAC
rnacentral:rRNA from 1 species